CCUACGGGUGGCAGCAGUGAGGAAUAUUGGUCAAUGGACGAGAGUCUGAACCAGCCAAGUAGCGUGAAGGAUGACUGCCCUAUGGUUUGUAAACUUCUUUUAUAGGGGAAUAAAACGAGACACGUGUUCCUUUUUGCAUGUACUUUAUGAAUAAGGAUCGGCUAACUCCGUGCCAGCAGCCGCGGUAAUACGGAGGAUCCGAUCGUUAUCCGGAUUUAUUGGGUUUAAAGGGAGCGUAGAUGUGAGAUUAAGGCAGUUGUGAAAGUUUUGGGCUCAACCGUUAAAUUGCAAUUGAAACUGGCAGUCUUGAGUACAGUUGAGGUAGGCGGAAUUCGUGGUGUAGCGGUGAAAUGCGUAGAUAUCACGAAGAACCCCGAUUGCGAAGGCAGCUUACUAAACUGUGACUGACAUUGAGGCUCGAAAGUGUGGGUAUCAAACAGGAUUAGAUACCCGAGUAGUC
rnacentral:rRNA from 1 species